CUAAAAGGAGCAGGGAACCAGUCUCUCAUUUAACUUUUAGCACAUAUGCUUGAAGGGAGGUGUGACUGACAUAAGACUGGUAGCUGUGCAGUCAUCCAAAAGAACUAAAAGUGGGAUUAACUGUUAUGACAAGAUUUAAAAUAGCUGGGAAUUAUAUUAGUUCUUACAAAAGAAGGGAAAUGAAGCACAGAAACAACCUAAGAGUACUGAUUGUUUUACAUAUGAAAAGAAGGAGAGUUUGCUGUGAGAUGCUGAGAUGCUACAAGGAGGUUUAGAAGAAAUGAAGGGAUUGGGGGCGCUCUUAAGAAGCAGUAUCAGAUAUAGCACGGCCUUUGGAAUCCUUUCUUACAAUUUGAAUUCUG